AGAUUCCCCCUGAUACAACAGGAAGGUGCACAUCUGCAGACAAGGAAGAGAGUCCUCUUCAGGAACUGAAUCAGCUGAAACCAUGAUCUUGGACUUCCUAGCCUAUGAGGAGCAUACUCCAGUUCAACGGGAGAUGAAAAACAACAGGAGAUGAUAGAGCAAUGGAAGGCAUUACAGACAAUUCCCCUGAGGCAGAAAGACAUGAGACCCGCU